UGGGAUGACCUGAGGGUAGGGUUGAAAGGCCAAUCAAACUCGGAAAUAGCUCGUACUCCCCGAAAUGCAUUUAGGUGCAGCGUGUUAUUAGUUUCAUAGAGGUAGAGCUACUGAUUGGAUGCGGGGGCUUCACCGCCUACCAAUUCCUGACAAACUCCGAAUGCUAUGAAAUGAUGUAACGCAGUGAGGGCAUGGGUGCUAAGGUCCAUGUCCGAGAGGGAAAGAACCCAGAUCACCGGCUAAGGUCCCAAAGUAUAUGCUAAGUUG
rnacentral:rRNA from 1 species